ACUGCACAUUGUUAGAGCUUGGAGUUGAGGCCACUGGCCAAUGAACUCACAAGUGUAGGUAGUGUGCGACAUGAGGGGCAAGUUUUUCACUAACAUCACAAGGAUCUCUGGCCCAAUGAGUGGAGUUUCAUAGUAAUACUUGCUACAAAU
ensembl:snoRNA SNORA62 Small nucleolar RNA SNORA62/SNORA6 family